CUGAUUCUACAUAUUGCAGAGCUUUAGAAUUCAGCAUGGGCCAUGUGAAUCUUGUCAUGCUCAGGCUGAGAGGCUGCUUGAUUCGGCAAAAGAAAUGGAAGAUUCAAUUGCUGUCAACCUAAGUUCUCGGAGACUUGAGGUUAGUAGAGUGGAACUGCUUCUGCAGGUUGGCACAUUUUUUGUAGCUAUUGGUGCUCUUGUAGCAGGUAAUUUUUUUGAAACUAAAACACCACCUGGUAAUAGA